rnacentral:rRNA from 1 species
UACGCAGGGGGCUAGCGUUGCUCGGAAUCACUGGGCGUAAAGCGCACGUAGGCGGACUCUUAAGUCGGUGGUGAAAUCCUGGAGCUCAACUCCAGAACUGCCUUCGAUACUGGGAGUCUCGAGUUCGGGAGAGGUGAGUGGAACUGCGAGUGUAGAGGUGAAAUUCGUAGAUAUUCGCAAGAACACCAGUGGCGAAGGCGGCUCACUGGCCCGAUACUGACGCUGAGGCACGAAAGCGUGGGAAGCAAACAGG